GAGUUUGAUCGUGGCUCAGGAUGAACGCUGGCGGCGUGCCUAAUACAUGCAAGUCGAGCGAACAGACGAGGAGCUUGCUCCUCUGACGUUAGCGGCGGACGGGUGAGUAACACGUGGAUAACCUACCUAUAAGACUGGGAUAACUUCGGGAAACCGGAGCUAAUACCGAAUAAUAUAUUGAACCGCAUGGUUCAAUAGUGAAAAACGGUUUUGCUGUCACUUAUAGAUGGAUCCGCGCCGCAUUAGCUAGUUGGUAGGGUAACGGCUUACCAAGGCGACGAUGCGUAGCCGACCUGAGAGGGUGAUCGGCCACACUGGAACUGAGACACGGUCCAGACUCCUACGGGGGCAGCAGUAGGAAUCUUCCGCAAUGGGCGAAAGCCUGACGGAGCAACGCCGCGUGAGUGAUGAAGGUCUUCGGAUCGUAAAACUCUGUUAUUAGGGAAGACAAAUGUGUAAGUAACUAUGCACGUCUUGACGGUACCUAAUCAGAAAGCCACGGCUAACUACGUGCCAGCCGCCGACGG
rnacentral:rRNA from 1 species